GGAAUAAAAGUCGUAACAAGGUUUCCGUAGGUGAACCUGCGGAAGGAUCAUUAUUGUAUAACCGAGGUGCGAGGGCUGUCGCUGACCCGAAAGGUCGUGCACGCCCGAGUGCCCUCACACACAUCCAUCUCACCCCUAUGUGCACCACCGCGUGGGUCCCCCUUUGGCUUGUUCGGAGGGGGGCUUACGUUUUCACACAAACUUUGUAUGCAGUGUAGAAUGUAUUUUUUGUUUUUGCGAUCACGCAAUCAAUACAACUUUCAACAGCGGAUCUCUUGGCUCUC
rnacentral:misc_RNA from 1 species